ensembl:misc_RNA Metazoa_SRP Metazoan signal recognition particle RNA
GCUGGUGUGGUGGCUCACACCUGUCAUCCCAACAUUUUUGGGAGGCUGAGGCAGGAGAAUCACUUGAGCCCAGGAGUUCAAGACCAACCUUAGCCAACAUAGUGCGAUUGUGUCUCUAUAAACAAUUUAAAAUUUAGCUGGGUGUGCUGGUGCAUGCCUGUAGUCCCAGCUACUCAAAGGGAGGGCAGAAGGAUGGCUUGAGCCUGGAAGGUCCAGGUUGCAGUGAGCCAGGAUUAUACCACUGUACUCCAGCCUGGGCAACGUAGUGAGACCCUGUCUCU